UACGUAGGUGGCAAGCGUUGUCCGGAUUUACUGGGCGUAAAGAGCGCGCAGGCGGUCGUUCAAGUCGCGUGUGAAAGCCCCCGGCUCAACUGGGGAGGGUCACGCGAUACUGAUCGACUCGAAGGCAGGAGAGGGUAGUGGAAUUCCCGGUGUAGUGGUGAAAUGCGUAGAGAUCGGCAGGAACACCCAGGGGGAAACCAGCCGACUGGGCAUCUGCUGACGCUGAGGUGCGAGAGCGUGGGGAGCGAACCGG
rnacentral:rRNA from 1 species